GCUCACGCAGUUUCUUUAUUCAGGGAACUGGGGGAGCCCGGGGCUCUGUCUAGCUCCAGAAUUCUAAGGAUCCCAGCACAGGUUUCUUCCCAAGAGAUUCCCGAGCCCUGGAAAAAGAUUCUCUUCAAAUUGUGAUGACGGUCCGGGCAGAGUGACAACUAUGCAUAACACGUCCAUCCAGCUCUGUUUACGUCGAGCCCUUCAGCAUCUGUGGUCCUGCACAGCCCUCACUCUGUCCCUGAGAAUCAGGAAAGGAUCACCCAAUAACUGUGGGACCACAGGAGAAACAGACCUGUCUUUGCCCCCCACUUCCUGACACACAGCUCCCAAAACUCUCAGAAUCUCUGGAGUUCCCGUGGUGGCGCAGUCGUUAAUGAUUCC